CGACCGGCGCACGGGUGAGUAACACGUAUGAAACCUGCCCGUAGCAGGGGGAUAAGCGGAAGAAAUUCCGUCUAAUACCGCGUAACAACCCAUGGAGGCAUCUCUGUGGGUUUAAAGGAAGCGAUUCCGGCUACGGAUGGUCAUGCGUCGCAUUAGCUUGUUGGCGGGGUAACGGCCCACCAAGGCGACGAUGCGUAGGGGUUCUGAGAGGAAGGUCCCCCACAUUGGAACUGAGACACGGACCAGACUCCUACGGAAGGCAGCAG
rnacentral:rRNA from 1 species